AUAGCCGUGGGAAACUGCGGGUAAACCGCCGUAGACUCGGGAGAGUAAAGGCCGAAAGGCGCCAGGGGAGCGGCCUGCGGCCCAUCAGGUAGUUGGUAGGGUAACGGCCUACCAAGCCGACGACGGGUAGCCGGUCUGAGAGGAUGGCCGGCCACAAGGGCACUGAGACACGGGCCCUACUCCUACGGGAGGCAGCAGUGGGGGAUUUUGGACAAUGGGCGAAAGCCUGAUCCAGCGACGCCGCGUGGAGGACGAAGCCCUUCGGGGUGUAAACUCCUUUUCUCAGGGAAAAAAGCUGAUGGUACCUGAGGAAUAAGCCCCGGCUAACUACGUGCCAGCAGCCGCGGUAAUACGUAGGGGGCGAGCGUUACCCGGAAUUACUGGGCGUAAAGGGUGCGUAGGCGGCCGUGUGUGUCUGGCGUUAAAAUCCACGGCUCAACUGUGGGUAUGCGCUGGAAACUGCACGGCUUGGGUGCAGCAGAGGCAGACGGAACUGCUGGUGUAGGGGUGAAAUCCGUAGAUAUCAGCAGGAGCGCCGGUGGAGAA
rnacentral:rRNA from 1 species